rnacentral:sRNA from 1 species
AGCAAUAGAAUAGCUUCUAAAGGGUGGACGGUAUAUCAUCCCCAAAUGAAAGGGGGUGAGGCCGGUGACAGUAUUUGAAUCACUAAUGCUUAUGAUUGCAUUUGCAACAUUGGUUGUUGUGAUCCUUACGUCAAAAGAAAAAUAAUCCACCCUUGCUCUAGAGAAGCAGGGUGGAUCCAUCAUUAUGUGUGAUCUGCCGCCCCCUUUAAAGGGCAGUCUAUUGUGUAAGCCGAUGGUGUUACCAGCACCGUCG